rnacentral:rRNA from 1 species
UCGAGGGGAAACGACAUCGAAAGCUUGCUUUUGAUGGGCGUCGACCGGCGCACGGGUGAGUAACGCGUAUCCAACCUGCCCACCACUUGGGGAUAACCUUGCGAAAGUAAGACUAAUACCCAAUGACGUCUCUAGAAGACAUCUGAAAGAGAUUAAAGAUUUAUCGGUGAUGGAUGGGGAUGCGUUCCAUUAGGUUGUUGGUGAGGUAACGGCUCACCAAGCCUUCGAUGGAUAGGGGUUCUGAGAGGAAGGUCCCCACAUUGGAACUGAGACACGGUCCAAACUCC